CCCUCGGAUACCCACCAGGGAUGACCUACUGACCAUCUGAUACCCACCAGGGACGACCUACUGACCCUCUGAUACCCACCAGGGAUGACCCUCUGACCCUCUGAUACCCACCAGGGAUGACAUGAUUGACAGCCGCUGCAGUGGAGCCUCUUUGGAGCCUGAUCUACAUCCAUAGUGUGUGAGUGUUGAUGUGUUGAGCCCCACCAGCUGUCUGCCAGAUGUCUGAUGGGAGAGUCAGGUUGUCCCUGAUACCCACCAGCUGUCUGCCAGAUGUCUGAUGGGAGAGUCAGGUUGUCCCUGAUACCCACCAGCUGUCUGCCAGAUGUCUGAUGGGAGAGUCAGGUUGUCCCUGAUACCCACCAGCUGUCUG
rnacentral:lncRNA from 13 species